rnacentral:lncRNA from 1 species
ACAAAGCCCAAGUCUUUCAAUUGUUUGGAAAAAGACAAGAACUCUCCCUUUCUUGGUCUAUUUCAUUCUGCUUUCUCUCAAUUUCCAUCACUUUCUAUUCAUCACUCUUUAUUCAUAACAUUCUUUCUCACUUUUUACAAGGAUCACAGUCCCGAUGAUUUCCAACGUCCUUAUCACCCUCCUCUUACUCUUAUUUCUUUAGCUCUCCCUCUUCCAUCUACCAUAAUGAUUAACCCCCUUCUAACCGCAUUAGGAUUACCCAACAUCAAGAUUUCGGUCAAGAUGAAACCGAGGACUUCAAUUACAAAGGGACAAUCUUGAUGAAUUUGGUGGUGACCCAAGAGGUAAAAGAAAGUUGGGUCUUGAUUUCCUUGUUCUGUUGUUUAAAUUUUAUAGUAUAGAUGUUAGCUUUCAGUUUUUGUAUUUUCUGUUGGCUUUUUUGAUGAUUUGAUCACCAGAUUCUUUGUGGUGUUAAGACUUCGGCCAAAUCAUUAGGAUCAUUAGGAACUUGUCUGUUUAGAAGUCUUGUCAUUGUGUGGCAUUAAAUCUGUUUGUGAUUGAUUUAUCAAGGAUUACAUGGUUGCUUGUGGUUACAACAUGAAGAAGCUUGUUUUAAAGGAUUGUAUGUCAGUACUACUUGAGCAGUCCAAUGCAUGCUUGAAAUCUAUUUAAUAAGUUAUUUUUUCACAGAAAUGUUUUUGUAUUCUAGUAAUGAUCAAUUCCAAG